rnacentral:misc_RNA from 1 species
UCGUAGGGCUUCUGCCCUGUCGAGAUAGCGUCCUUGCCUAUUUUUUGGAGUACCUUUUCGUUUCCUCAGCAGGCUUGCCUGCUACUGGGGACCCUUUAAACUCUUUGUAAAUACAGCAUCUGUCUGAAUAAACAAACAAAAAAUCA